rnacentral:rRNA from 1 species
GAUGAACGCUGGCGGCGUGCCUAAUACAUGCAAGUCGAGCGAACGGACGAGAAGCUUGCUUCUCUGAUGUUAGCGGCGGACGGGUGAGUAACACGUGGAUAACCUACCUAUAAGACUGGGAUAACUUCGGGAAACCGGAGCUAAUACCGGAUAAUAUUUUGAACCGCAUGGUUCAAAAGGAAAAGACGGUCUUGCUGUCACUAAUGGAUGGAUCCGCGCUGCAUUAGCUAGUUGGUAAGGUAACGGCUUACCAAGGCAACGAUGCAUAGCCGACCUGAGAGGGUGAUCGGCCACACUGGAACUGAGACACGGUCCAGACUCCUACGGGAGGCAGCAGUAGGGAAUCUUCCGCAAUGGGCGAAAGCCUGACGGAGCAACGCCGCGUGAGUGAUGAAGGUCUUCGGAUCGUAAAACUCUGUUAUUAGGGAAGAACAUAUGUGUAAGUAACUGUGCACAUCUUGACGGUACCUAAUCAGAAAGCCACGGCUAACUACGUG